rnacentral:rRNA from 1 species
GCGGUAAUACGUAGGGGGCAAGCGUUGGCCGGAUUCAUUGGACGUAAAGAGCUCGUAGGCGGUUCAGUAAGUCAGGGGUGAAAUCCCGGAGCUCAACUCCGGAACUGCCUUUGAUACUGGCAAGCUAGAGUCCGGAAGAGGUGAGUGGAACUCCUAGUGUAGAGGUGGAAUUCGUAGAUAUUAGGAAGAACACCAGUGGCGAAGGCGGCUCACUGGUCCGGUACUGACGCUGAGGUGCGAAAGCGUGGGGAGCAAAC